ACUGUUUCUGAAUCUCCCUGCGAGCCGUUCCCUUCUCAGCCGAGCCUUUUCGCCGGCUUCAAGCGAGUGCUAUUAUGAAGAUCAAAUGCGUGCUGCUCUGCCUGGCUCUUCUGCUCGCCUUGCCAGCCAUGAGCGAAUGCAGAAAUAUACGUCCGUACUGUGUGUUGUGCAACCUUCCCUGCAGAGGAAAGUGUUCCAGGCUGACAAAUCAUAACGGGUGCGAAAUAAAUGUCGAGUGUCUUUUCAGUGGUGGCUUUAGACUCCGGCGUCCUCCCAACUCAAUGUGGUGAAGAGGGAUGUGCAUUAGCAUUAUCAACACUGUCUACGGUUAGUGUGAGGAACAAAAAACAGACAGACUGACUUCAAAACAGAAAUGUGGAGUGAUGAAUAAUGUAAUCAUUAGAAAGUAGUUUUUAAAAGGAGGUUUAUUAAGAUCUCCAUGCAUGUGAAACAACUGUUUGUUAAAAUUGUUAUGACUGAGUAAUAUCAAACGGUUUAAAGCUCUUAAAA